CGCAAUGGGCGCAAGCCUGACGGAGCAAGACCGCGUGAGGGAGGAAGGUUCUUGGAUUGUAAACCUCUUUUCUCUGGGAAGAAAAAAAUGACGGUACCAGAGGAAUAAGCAUCGGCUAACUCCGUGCCAGCAGCCGCGGUAAGACGGAGGAUGCAAGCGUUAUCCGGAAUGAUUGGGCGUAAAGCGUCCGCAGGUGGUUUUUCAAGUCUGCUGUUAAGGACCGGGGCUUAACUCCGGGCCGGCAGUGGAAACUGAAAGACUAGAGUAUGGUAGGGGCAGAGGGAAUUCCUGGUGUAGCGGUGAAAUGCGUAGAGCUCAGGAAGAACAUCGGUGGCGAAGGCGCUCUGCUAGGCCAUAACUGACACUCAGGGACGAAAGCUA
rnacentral:rRNA from 1 species